rnacentral:rRNA from 1 species
AACGACUCUCGGCAACGGAUUCUCGGCUCUCGCAUGAUGAAGAAACGUAGCGAAAUGCGAUACUUGGUGUGAAUUGCAGAAUCCCGUGAACCAUCGAGUCUUUGAACGCAAGUUGCGCCCCAAGCCUUCUGGCCGAGGGCACGUCUGCCUGGGUGUCACUAA